UUUAUAACAUUGUUAUACCCAUUUCUAUUGAUUUUUUUUACACAAAUGUUAUUUCUUACAUGAUGACAUAUUCGUAAACCAUGGCAUUUAAAGGGAAAGCUUAGUGUUUAUACAUACAUAUCAUAGAAGUUUCCGUUUUACAAUACUGGCCAUUUAAAAUGUAAUUUGGAAAUAAUUUGGACACUUCUAACAUGAAUACUUUGAUCUGAUAAACUGAGCCUCGUGGCCGCCCGAAAACCUAAGUCAACAACGAUAAAUUAAAAGUCAUAGUGGAAGCUGACGAUACACAAUCUACCGCUGAGUUAGUAACAGCUUUCAACGUUAGUAUCAAAGCAAUAUUGGUCCAUUUGCCUCAAAUUCGGAAGGUAAAAAUCCCGCACGGACUAUACGCUUGCCAGUUCGACAAACGCAUUAAGGUUUUUCUUGCAUUGCUUAACCGACACGGAAAUGAGAAGACCAAACACAAUCACAGGAUAGAGCUCUUUCGCUCCGCUAACGCCUCCAGUUUUACUUAUGUGAAUCGAGCGUUUCGAACGUUUUUUUUGCAUGAAAAUUUUUUGACCAAUUUACUGUACGGGUUUACCUAUGAAGGGUCGCUGUUAAUAACACUUGGUUAAAUAAUUAAUAUUGUGCUGUUAUUUUAAAAUCGGAAAUGCUCUAUACAUGUAACGUUGAAAAUGAUAAUUAAAUAUAAUGAAAGCCGUAAA